CUUUAUACUUCAACUUACUUCAUAUAAUCUGGUAUACAUAACCCUGACUCUGUUGUUGAAUGAGGUCUUGCUGCAUACUCUUCCAGACUUACAUAAACAUAAACAAACAUCAUAGCUACCUACAUAUCUAAUAUCUAUCCUCCAGUACCUAUAUCAAUAUGCAUUGCCUUUGUUUACCAACAGAUCAUAGUACACACGCCACGUGAUUCACAAAUAGCAGCAAUUCAAGGUUGGAUUAAUUGUGCCUCUGUUGCAUAUGUCACGUGACAUAGGUACAUAUCUUCUCAUUCCAAAUAAAAGUGUGUUUAGAAGACUAAUUUAUAAAAAUAAGUUAGAACUCACUGCUCGAGUUUGAGCCAUUUUGUUUCCAUUUGUAGUUUCAACAUUUCAAGCAUUACAAAGUAUUGCAGUUUAUAGUAAAAAUUAGCUUGAAAUUAGUGUAAAAAUAAAUCCCACUACUAAAGUUCUUCUUUUAUCUGGCCCCUCUGACAAAACGCUUGAACUGGGCUUCCCCGAGUACCGAGAGUGCCUGCUUUUUUGGUCUCUUGGUCUGUCCUAUCAGAAAAUCCGUAAAACAAGAGGGACGUCUGCCGGUUACGAACGGAAGGUUUCCGACGGGACUUGGCAGAACCCACAACAGCAGUAUGAACCCGGCGUGGACGUAAUUGCUCGCAUGAGCAACCGAAGAGCGACUUCCAGGCGAAGCUGCCGCAGAAUGCCUGGAGAUGCGCUGGGACAUGGAUGAUAGCAAGGUGGCUCUCAGCGGCAGCUGACCGCUGAGAUGUGUCUGAAACAGCCAGAAGAAAGACUCGAGUUGUGGAUCCAGGGCACUACUGAACGGAAGGCCGGACCAGCUGUAGGGAGACUACAGAAAAGCCGUCGUUCUCAAUCUGCUGAACAGACACCUACUGCAGAGGAUCAACUGGGGUUCGACGUGUUAGAACUGGGGUUAGACCGGUUGCCGGUUACCAGUGCUCGUGUUCGUCACCUGUUGUUUGUCACUGCUGCGCUGCUGCUGUAAUGUUUGCCACCUGCUAAGCGUUCACAAUGUAUUUUAAGUGAAUAACUUUUUCAGUGUUUGUCUUGAUUUGUAACGAGUAUAUCAAUUAUCAAGCAUGUUAACCUUUCAUCAAAUGAAGGACUCCACAUAAAAAUAGUAUAGGCUGUGGUGGUACAGACACAUACCAUGCUUGGCCGACUGUUGUGUAUUGAUCUAGUCGUUGAAGCGUCCUGAAAGUCUGGAAAUAAACAGGCAUGACCAAAUGGAUUGGUUUUAAUUAUUUUCCUGUGCGGUUUUAUCGUUUCCCUAUUG